rnacentral:rRNA from 1 species
UACGUAGGGGGCAAGCGUUGUCCGGAAUCAUUGGGCGUAAAGCGCGUGUAGGCGGCUCGAUAAGUCCGUUCUGAAAGUCCAGGGCUCAACCCUGGGAUGCGGAUGGAUACUGUCGAGCUCGAGUCCGGAAGAGGCGAGUGGAAUUCCUGGUGUAGCGGUGAAAUGCGCAGAUAUCAGGAGGAACACCAAUGGCGAAGGCAGCGCGCUGGGACGGUACUGACGCUGAGACGCGAAAGCGUGGGGAGCAAACAGG